rnacentral:rRNA from 1 species
GACGAACGCUGGCGGCGUGCUUAACACAUGCAAGUCGAACGGAAAGGCCCUGCUUGCAGGGUGCUCGAGUGGCGAACGGGUGAGUAACACGUGGGUGAUCUGCCCCUUACUUUGGGAUAAGCCUGGGAAACUGGGUCUAAUACUGGAUAGGACCAUGCUGUAGGUGGUGUGGUGGAAAGAUUAGUUUCGGUAAGGGAUGAGCUCGCGGCCUAUCAGCUUGUUGGUGGGGUAAUGGCCUACCAAGGCGUCGACGGGUAGCCGGCCUGAGAGGGUGGACGGCCACAUUGGGACUGAGAUACAGCCCAGACUCCUACGGGAGGCAGCAAUGGGGAAUAUUGCACAAUGGGCGCAAGCCUGAUGCAGCGACGCCGCGUGGGGGAUGACGGCCUUCGGGUUGUAAACUCCUUUCAGCCAUGACGAAGCCCUUGUGGUGACGGUAGUGGUAGAAGAAGCACCGGCUAACUACGU